GGGUGAGUAACACGUGGAUAACCUACCUAUAAGACUGGGAUAACUUCGGGAAACCGGAGCUAAUACCGGAUAAUAUAUUGAACCGCAUGGUUCGAUAGUGAAAGACGGUUUUGCUGUCACUUAUAGAUGGAUCCGCGCCGCAUUAGCUAGUUGGUAAGGUAACGGCUUACCAAGGCAACGAUGCGUAGCCGACCUGAGAGGGUGAUCGGCCACACUGGAACUGAGACACGGUCCAG
rnacentral:rRNA from 1 species